AUGUAUUUAACUGAUGUAUUGAGUGACGAUGUAAUGGGACAACAUCUCUCUCUGUCUCUGUGUGGCUCUCUGUGUGUGUCUCUCUCUCUCUCUCUCUCUCUCUCUCUCUCUCUCUCUCUCUCUCUCUCUCUCUCUCUCUCUCUCUCUCUCUCUCUCUCUCUCUCUCUCUCUCUCUCUCUCUCUCUCAAGGAGAGGCGUCGCCAGCAGGAAGAGGAGGAAAAGGUGAAGAGAGAGACGGAAGAAGAGAAGUGGAAGUUGGCCCAGAAACAGAAAAAGUCCUUAAGAGAUCAGUGGUUCAGUGAUCCAGGUGAUGCCCUCGAGGUACAGUCAGACUUGCCCCAGCUGCACAGUCAAUCAACGACUGAGGAAGGAGAACAGGAAGUCUGCAUCAGAGGACCGAAGGACUCAGCUUCUGUGGUGAGUUCAGGGAAAGAAGUCUACAUCCAAGGGACUGGAGGAAGUGACAUCACCGAAGACAUGUCACAACAGAUCUUCCACGAGGGUGGCCAAGAUGGCCGAUCAGUCCUGGGGAUGGUGGCGGUGCAGGUGGAGGUGGACCCCCGGACGGGCGCCACCGUGGUCCGCUCCGUGGCGCCCAUGUCGGCGCCGGUGGGCGCCAUGGCGACCACGGUGUUCGACGACGGCCGCAAGAGCGUGCACGCCAUCGGCGGGGGCGGCGCCCAGCCCUCGGCGGAGGAGCUGGGCCGCAUCCUGAGCGCCAUCGACGGCGUGGGGAUGACGGUGCUGCUGGACGACGUCGCCGUGACGACGAGCGCGAGCGCGGCGUCGGACGCCAGCGCCGGAGAACGUUCCCGGGGGUCCCCGGCGGCCGCGGGGUCCGUGGACGCAUCGCCGCGCGUCGUCGAGGUGAGGGGCGGAUCGGGGGGCGGGGCCCAGGUCGGGGAGACGGGAGCGGAGGAGGGAGGGGGCGUGGCCGUCACCCGCGGCCAGGUGGAGUCUGCCAUGACGGUGAGGGAGGCGGCCGGUCAGCCAAUCGUCACGGAGGAGGCGCCGGGGGCGGGGCCGGACUACGAGACCCCGGUGGUCCUGACCUUUCUGGGCUACGCCGACUCCGACCAGCGGGAGGGGCCGGAGGGCGUGGCCCUGGGCCGAGACGACCGGGGGGGCGUGCUCACCGUGGAGCGAGUGGUCAUCGACGCCGGGGACGAAGACGGCGACGAAGAGGAGAAGGAGGAGGUUCUGGAGCCCUCCGUGAACGGGGGUCCCGCGGGGCCGGGCGGGGCCCCUGAGCAGGACGGAGCGUUCCAGGAGGUCCGGCUGGACGGGAGCGUGAAGCGGGCCCCGGCCAAGGGGGCGGAGCCUGACAAGGUGCCCUCGGAGCCGGCCACACCCAAGGAGGGGAGCAAGGAGACAGAGGAGUCCUCCAAACCCAAGGCCUGUCAAUGCUGCUCUGUCAUGUAGCAGGGAGGGGGAGGAGAGAAGGAGAGGGAGAAAUAAAGAAAGGAAACGAGAAAGUACCGCAAACCACUUCUGCCUCCUGUUGGACAAAACUGAGAACUACAACGAGGGAGAGGGAGAGGGAGAGGGGGAGAGAGGGAGAAAGGGAGAGAGGAAGAGAGGGAGAGAUUGAGAGAGAGAGAGAGAGAGAGAGAGAGAGAGAGAGAGAGAGAGAGAGAGAGAGAGAGAGAGAGAGAGAGAGAGAGAGAGAGAGAGAGAGAGAGAGAGAGAGAGAGAGAGAGAGAGAGAGAGAGAGAAUUUGCCACAGAUCAUAGCAUGUUAUAUGCUGUUUUAUUUAACCUGAUUAAUCUAAGAAAUAACAAACAAACAUUGCCAUGGCUGCCUCUUACAUUAUAUUUGACAAUACAUGAUAAUUUCAUGACAUUCAUUUCAUUCAAAUAAACAUAACAUUAACAUUGUGUUCAGGUUAGUAUUACACAACAUGAUUAUAAUUGAUCAUUUAGUUCAUUCUGCAGAUGCAGAUCGAACAUAUUGUGUACGAAAUAGGUACAACGCCUUGCAGUGACCACAGACGACAUCAUACUAAGAUAAGAGAAAAGUUCGCUGGAUAACAAUUGUGUUUUGGUUUGUUCAUCCAAGUGGAAAGCGGUGGACUACUACAACCACUACUCUAUCCGCGUGGCCGAGAACAGAGCACUUGUUUUGAGGAACGGUGACUGAAUUACCGCUGAAGCGUAUUUAAUGUAAACCAUGCUCGCCCCCUGCUGGAAGACAAGGAGAACUACAAUGACCGGGGCUCGCAUACAGGCUUGAGCCAAGAAAUCACGCAUCACUCACAUGGCUUAAGAGCCCAAAGGAAGAAUUGUAUUCGUUACGGUACAAAUCGACUGUGUAUCCUACGUUAUAUCCAAAGGAUACAAAGCAUUUAAUUGAAUAAAAUAUCUUCAUAUCCCACUUUUAACAUUACAAUAUUGAAAUGUUACUCAUGUUUCUUUGGGGUUAUUUUUUAACCAGUUUUUGACCACUUGACUGUAGCUGCUGGAGAAUUGUGAUCAACUGGACAACUGGAAUGUAUCAUUAAAUAAUGUUGUUUGAAAGGGUUGUUGUUUCCUUAUUUUUGUUGAUGACCGCUGGAAUCUGUCGACUCGUAUCCUGAUCCUCAGGUCAGCUGACAGAAAGCAGGUGUGCGAGUCCUGCAGGUGUUAAUCAGGUUCAUAAGCCCCAAGGCUCAUAUCGGUGUCUCUGAGGUGAGUACAGGGGGGUCACCGUCCAACACGCCAGCUCUCAAACAGGUUGGUGCUUUCAUACUAGGGUUCUCUCUCUCUCUCUCUCUCUCUCUCUCUCUCUCUCUCUCUCUCUCUCUCUCUCUCUCUCUCUCUCUCUCGCCUGUUCCUUUGAAAUUGGGGGUACUUUGUUCAGUAAAAUGUAGAUGUUAAGUCUAUGUUUUCUUUAGACCUAUAAACACCCAUCCCACAAGAACAGCAAUCUUUACUUACAUCCUAGUAAUUGAAAAACAACCUACUCAUUCACUCAAAACAAAUAUAAAUGACAAUGAAGGAAAGUCUAAUGCAAAAUGUUUGCUUUA
rnacentral:lncRNA from 1 species